GAACUGCGAUAAGUAAUGUGAAUUGCAGAAUUCAGUGAAUCAUCGAGUCUUUGAACGCACAUUGCGCCCCCUGGCAUUCCGGGGGGCAUGCCUGUCCGAGCGUCAUUGUUGCCCUUCAAGCCCGGCUUGUGUGUUGGGUCGUCGUCCCCUCCGGGGGACGGGCCCGAAAGGCAGCGGCGGCACCGCGUCCGGUCCUCGAGCGUAUGGGGCUUUGUCACCCGCUCGAUAAGGACCGGCCUGGCGCCAGCCGGCGUCUCCAACCUUUUUUUCUCAGGUUGACCUCGGAUCAGGUAGGGAUACCCGCUGAACUUAAGC
rnacentral:misc_RNA from 1 species